rnacentral:rRNA from 1 species
CUAAGAAUCUUCCGCAAUGGGGGAAACCCUGACGGAGCGACGCCGCGUGGGCGAUGAAGGCCGGAAGGUUGUAAAGCCCUUUUCUUGGCGAAGAAUAAGGCUGGCAGUGGAAUGGCCAGCUGAUGACGUUAGCCGAGGAAUAAGCCCCGGCCAAUUACGUGCCAGCAGCCGCGGUAACACGUAUGGGGCGAGCGUUGUUCGGAGUUAUUGGGCGUAAAGGGCGUGUAGGCGGCUUUCGCAAGCUUGGUGUUAAAGGUUUCGGCCUAACCGGAACAGUGCGCUGAGAACUGCGGAGCUGGAGUCUAGGAGGGGGAGCUGGAAUUCCAGGUGUAGGGGUGAAAUCUGUAGAUAUCUGGAAGAACACCGGUGGCGAAGGCGAGCUCCUGGCCAUAGACUGACGCUGAGGCGCGAAAGCGUGGGGAGCAAACAG